rnacentral:rRNA from 1 species
UACGAAGGGGGCUAGCGUUGCUCGGAAUCACUGGGCGUAAAGCGCACGUAGGCGGAUCUUUAAGUCAGGGGUGAAAUCCUGGAGCUCAACUCCAGAACUGCCUUUGAUACUGGGAUCUCGAGUCCGGAAGAGGUGAGUGGAACUCCGAGUGUAGAGGUGAAAUUCGUAGAUAUUCGGAAGAACACCAGUGGCGAAGGCGGCUCACUGGUCCGGUACUGACGCUGAGGUGCGAAAGCGUGGGGAGCAAACAGG